AUUCAAGCAAAUGCCCCGCUAUGAAGGGGUUUGAAAC
rnacentral:other from 1 species